rnacentral:tRNA from 1 species
CACUACAGAAGCUAAACAGGACAGCACUAGCCUUUUAAGUUAGAAAAUUGAGAGAUAUCCGCCUCUCCUUAGUGA